rnacentral:sRNA from 1 species
GUCGGGUUCGGGAUGAAAUGGUUCACGACGCCGCCCAUGACGGCGAAGGUGCGCUUGCCCUCGGUGAGCAUCUGCACACCGCGGCGCUUGAAUUCCUU